CUAAACCGGUUCCUGCGGGUCCUUCGUGUUGCUGCUGGGUUUAAACAUGCGACCGAGAGUCAGCUGAUGUUAGCCUAGCUUAGCACAAAGCUAACGCAGGUUGGAGGGGACAGAGACAGAAAAUAAACAAGCUCACGAGCUUUUAUUAACGCUGCUAGCAUUAAAUACAGAGCUAGCUCCCAGUUUAAAGAGCAGGUAUUAACAGAGCGGUAGCUUACUGUAGCUGUUAGCUGAGGCGCAGUUACCGUUAAUCAGCUAACUAAACAUUAGCAUCGUCCUGUCAGUCAAAUGAACACUCGGAAGCUAACUAGCUACAAGCUAAAUGAAACCUUAGCUCGGUCAUUUAACAGACAUUAACACGGUUCAUGUUAGCAUUAGCAUUAGCCGGCAGCUAUCAGGCCAACUGUUGCUAACUCCGCUCAGCUGUUUUUAAAGCUGUAUGCUAAGCUAACGUUAGCUCCGUCGCAGUCACAGGUUAGUUCUUCUGGUCCAGUAGCGUGUCUGCGUGUUUACAGGUUCCUGUUUGGUCGGAGCUGGAGGCCGUCGGGACCGGAGGGAGCUGUCUGCUGUCUGCUGGAGGAUCCCUCUUUGUUUCUGUAUCAGACUCAUUUGUUAGAAUCGACAUUUUUGUGAAACUAAAUGAAUCUCUAUUAAAUUAAGUUCCUCUUUA